UACGGGGGGGAGCAAGCGUUGUUCGGAAUCACUGGGCGUAAAGGGCGUGUAGGCGGUCAGGUAAGUGGGAUGUGAAAUGCCCCGGCUCACCCGGGGACCGGCAUCCCAUACUGCUUGGCUUGAGUACGGGAGAGGAUGUGGGAAUUCCUGGUGUAGCGGUGAAAUGCGUAGAUAUCAGGAGGAACACCGGUGGCGAAGGCGCACAUCUGGCCCGAUACUGACGCUGAGGCGCGAAAGCUAGGGGAGCAAACGGG
rnacentral:rRNA from 1 species